AACAAGACAGUGCUGCAUUUGCUCAUUGUGAAGCUAAUCGACUCCUUGUCAACUGGAUCUGAACUAAAUUUCAAAGCAAAUCCCUGUCUUCAGGGUUUUUCUUGGAAUGAGGAUUCCAGGGCAUGUCUACUCUUCUGCAGUCAUGCACUUGUGUGCUGCUAUGAUUGCAUUUAUCAAGAACACGUCAUGUUAAUUCUGGUUAAUUUAAAGAAAUCACAGCAGCUCUGACACAAGUUGCCACCCACUUUAUAAUCCGUAUAGAUGCAAUUAGAAUUGAUUGAGCCACUGCAAACAACCAAUGGCAAAACAAAGGUUUCCCAGUAUAUACUUAAUUAAGAUGAUCUAUAAAUAUGGAUUAGGUUAAAAGGCCUUUGAGAUGCAUGCGUGCAUCGCAGUAUGUCUGCUAUUGCUGUCAAGCCUUUGAAAGAAGUGGCUGCAGUUAGAGGGCACAGGGACCAGGAGCUGGCGUUUAAGGCUCCCUGUCCCGUUGUGGAGCAGCAGAGAUCAGAAGCCAGCCCCAUGUCUGGGGCAUGUGAUCAAGCUAGGAACCAAACAUGAAAGGUCUCUCUUAAGGCAAAGGAGGAGGAUGCUCUUCUUCACUGCCCUCCUUGUUUGAAGGAAGAACGGUUUUACUUAUUCAUUUAUUUAUUUAUUUUCAAUCCAGUGUUUAGUAUCAGCUUGAGGUUUGGGGCUUUUUCUGCCCCAGAAGUGAAUCUGCCCACUGGCUCACAGUAACCUAUUUAGCUUUAAUGAAACAGGUACUAUACAUCAAACGCGUGACAACUCAUUAUCGUCACUCCAGCUGGGAGAUCGCUGUGGAAACUUUGCCAUGAAUAUAAACUCAAAUUUAAAAAAGAAAUUGCUUUGGCUUUUUCUCUGCCCCUCUCAGUGCCCCUGGGAGACAUGUGUGAUCACACUUGGCAUGACUGCUUCACACAGACUUUGUAAAGCGCAGAAGUGCGGGCAAACACUUGAAGGCACUCUCAAGCCAGAAGAUUUACUGAAGGCAGACCUGAUCAAUGACACAACUCAAACUAGAGAAAAUAGACACAGAUUUGGAUGGUUAAACCACAACACGGAGGGGCAAGAGGAGCAAGAAAGGAUAAAAAACAUUAGAUUCUAGACUUCCCACUGAAACAGCUUUGGAAACCUCAUUUACAGUGGAAACACCCCAAACCUCCCAGCAUACUCAAUAAUUCCAUGUAAGAUCUGAUCUCCGUUUUGAAAAGGUCAAUAAAUCUGUGUUUUUAAAACAA